GCCCAAGUGGUGAAAUUGGUAGACACGCCAGAUUUAGGUUCUGGUGCCGCGAGGUGUGUAGGUUCGAGUCCUAUCUUGGGCA
rnacentral:tRNA from 1 species